rnacentral:rRNA from 1 species
AAACCAACAAGCUUGCUUGUUGGGGUUGUAGGACACUCUAUACGGAGUUACAAAGGACGACAUUAGACGAAUCAUCUGGAAAGAUGAAUCAAAGAAGGUAAUAAUCCUGUAGUCGAAAAUGUUGUCUCUCUUGAGUGGAUCCUGAGUACGACGGAGCACGUGAAAUUCCGUCGGAAUCUGGGAGGACCAUCUCCUAAGGCUAAAUACUCUCUAGUGACCGAUAGUGAACCAGUACCGUGAGGGAAAGGUGAAAAGCACCCCGGAAGGGGAGUGAAAUAGAACCUGAAACCGUGUGCUUACAAGUAGUCAGAGCCCGUUAAUGGGUGAUGGCGUGCCUUUUGUAGAAUGAACCGGCGAGUUACGAUUUGAUGCAAGGUUAAGCAGUAAAUGUGGAGCCGUAGCGAAAGCGAGUCUGAAUAGGGCGUUUAGUAUUUGGUCGUAGACCCGAAACCAGGUGAUCUACCCUUGGUCAGGUUGAAGUUCAGGUAACACUGAAUGGAGGACCGAACCGACUUACGUUGAAAAGUGAGCGGAUGAACUGAGGGUAGCGGAGAAAUUCCAAUCGAACCUGGAGAUAGCUGGUUCUCUCCGAAAUAGCUUUAGGGCUAGCCUCAAGUGAUGAUUAUUGGAGGUAGAGCACUGUUUGGACGAGGGGCCCCUCUCGGGUUACCGAAUUCAGACAAACUCCGAAUGCCAAUUAAUUUAACUUGGGAGUCAGAACAUGGGUGAUAAGGUCCGUGUUCGAAAGGGAAACAGCCCAGACCACCAGCUAAGGUCCCAAAAUAUAUGUUAAGUGGAAAAGGAUGUGGCGUUGCCCAGACAACUAGGAUGUUGGCUUAGAAGCAGCCAUCAUUUAAAGAGUGCGUAAUAGCUCACUAGUCGAGUGACACUGCGCCGAAAAUGUACCGGGGCUAAACAUAUUACCGAAGCUGUGGAUUGUCCUUUGGACAAUGGUAGGAGAGCGUUCUAAGGGCGUUGAAGCAUGAUCGUAAGGACAUGUGGAGCGCUUAGAAGUGAGAAUGCCGGUGUGAGUAGCGAAAGACGGGUGAGAAUCCCGUCCACCGAUUGACUAAGGUUUCCAGAGGAAGGCUCGUCCGCUCUGGGUUAGUCGGGUCCUAAGCUGAGGCCGACAGGCGUAGGCGAUGGAUAACAGGUUGAUAUUCCUGUACCACCUAUAAUCGUUUUAAUCGAUGGGGGGACGCAGUAGGAUAGGCGAAGCGUGCGAUUGGAUUGCACGUCUAAGCAGUAAGGCUGAGUAUUAGGCAAAUCCGGUACUCGUUAAGGCUGAGCUGUGAUGGGGAGAAGACAUUGUGUCUUCGAGUCGUUGAUUUCACACUGCCGAGAAAAGCCUCUAGAUAGAAAAUAGGUGCCCGUACCGCAAACCGACACAGGUAGUCAAGAUGAGAAUUCUAAGGUGAGCGAGCGAACUCUCGUUAAGGAACUCGGCAAAAUGACCCCGUAACUUCGGGAGAAGGGGUGCUCUUUAGGGUUAACGCCCAGAAGAGCCGCAGUGAAUAGGCCCAAGCGACUGUUUAUCAAAAACACAGGUCUCUGCUAAACCGUAAGGUGAUGUAUAGGGGCUGACGCCUGCCCGGUGCUGGAAGGUUAAGAGGAGUGGUUAGCUUCUGCGAAGCUACGAAUCGAAGCCCCAGUAAACGGCGGCCGUAACUAUAACGGUCCUAAGGUAGCGAAAUUCCUUGUCGGGUAAGUUCCGACCCGCACGAAAGGCGUAACGAUUUGGGCACUGUCUCAACGAGAGACUCGGUGAAAUCAUAGUACCUGUGAAGAUGCAGGUUACCCGCGACAGGACGGAAAGACCCCGUGGAGCUUUACUGUAGCCUGAUAUUGAAAUUCGGCACAGCUUGUACAGGAUAGGUAGGAGCCUUUGAAACGUGAGCGCUAGCUUACGUGGAGGCGCUGGUGGGAUACUACCCUAGCUGUGUUGGCUUUCUAACCCGCACCACUUAUCGUGGUGGGAGACAGUGUCAGGCGGGCAGUUUGACUGGGGCGGUCGCCUCCUAAAAGGUAACGGAGGCGCUCAAAGGUUCCCUCAGAAUGGUUGGAAAUCAUUCAUAGAGUGUAAAGGCAUAAGGGAGCUUGACUGCGAGACCUACAAGUCGAGCAGGGUCGAAAGACGGACUUAGUGAUCCGGUGGUUCCGCAUGGAAGGGCCAUCGCUCAACGGAUAAAAGCUACCCCGGGGAUAACAGGCUUAUCUCCCCCAAGAGUUCACAUCGACGGGGAGGUUUGGCACCUCGAUGUCGGCUCAUCGCAUCCUGGGGCUGUAGUCGGUCCCAAGGGUUGGGCUGUUCGCCCAUUAAAGCGGUACGCGAGCUGGGUUCAGAACGUCGUGAGACAGUUCGGUCCCUAUCCGUCGUGGGCGUAGGAAAUUUGAGAGGAGCUGUCCUUAGUACGAGAGGACCGGGAUGGACAUACCUCUGGUGUACCAGUUGUCGUGCCAACGGCAUAGCUGGGUAGCUAUGUGUGGACGGGAUAAGUGCUGAAAGCAUCUAAGCAUGAAGCCCCCCUCAAGAUGAGAUUUCCCAACUUCGGUUAUAAGAUCCCUCAAAGAUGAUGAGGUUAAUAGGUUCGAGGUGGAAGCAUGGUGACAUGUGGAGCUGACGAAUACUAAUCGAUCGAAGACUUAAUCAA